ensembl:lncRNA
CUGACACAGACACAGCUGCUCUGCGGCCUCAACUCCUUAAUACUGAGAAGAAGAAAAAACAUUAAAAUACAACAAACUUCACAAAACAUUUGACUUUAUCAAACAAAUAACAGCUUUAAUUCUUAAGAUUUAGUAGAUUUUAAAUAAUCAUUUUAACAUACUAAGCUUUUUAUCCAAUUCCUCUGAAACAAGACCCAACAAAUCAGCCAAUCAGACUCUCAGAUAACUAUCAGCAACCCAUAUCUACUGUAUUGAAACGGUGAGGUCUCCCAUCCCAAAUGCAGUAUGUGGCUCACACUGUUGGCCCUUCUGACUCUGUGUGCCACGGGAAGAAGCACUGAAAAUGUCUCAGAAAGCAGCCCUGAGAAAGAACAGCUUGUUAUAGCCAGAGGAAAACUUUUGGCUCCCAGUGUAGUGGGAUAAUCCAUAAAAAGAUGCCAGAGCUCUACAAUUUCCUUAUGGAGCGAUGGGCAUUGUAGUAUCCAGACAUUACCAUUGAAAAUCACUCUCAUUUUCAUGUAAUUCCAAUAUUUUCAGUUUAGUGCUACAGUAUAAGUCUUUUUAAAGAAUGUUGAAAGGUAUCUUCCAUUUUUCUUGGAAGAUCAUGGCUCUGCUAAGACAACGUUUGACAGAGACGUAAAUGUUUUGGAAAUCUUUAGGGCUGCCGUAUGUUUAAACACUUAGAGGCCGGAGUCAUGCACUUCAUGGCCUCAAAGGUCAUUUGUCUGCUGCUGUUAACCUUAACCUGCUGUUUAAAGUCACAACCUGGAGUUCGAUUCAGGAGAGGAUAAAACCCCCGCCUGAUCUUCUACAAUGAGAAGGACGAGGAAGUGAAGGGAAAGACAAUGUGAUUUUUAUGUGCAAGUGCACUUUUUUUCAGCAUUUGCAUUAUACAUUUGCAUUUAAAUGUUUACUGUUUUUGUUACUUGCUGAAAAACCUGCAUGUCUCUGUACUUUUUAAAUAUUAUUUAAAUAUAAAUAUUAUUAUCAUGCAUAUGCAAACAAGUGUCACAAUCCAUCACCAAACCAAUGAUAUGAUGUGUCUUUUCUUUUGUUUCUUUUUUUCUCACUAUUGGCUUUUGUUGAUUGUUGAAAGGGAAAGAGCAGCAUGAAUAUUCUCAUCAUCUUCUCCUUUUGAGAAGAUCAACAAAAAACAAAAAUCAACCAACCUGACAAGGGGUGUUUAAAAAAAUGAAUAAAUGCUAUGUGAUUAUUUUCA